CGGUAAUACGGAGGGUGCAAGCGUUACUCGGAAUCACUGGGCGUAAAGGACGCGUAGGCGGGAUGGUAAGUCAGAUGUGAAAUCCCACAGCUUAACUGUGGAACUGCAUUUGAAACUGCCAACCUAGAGUUUGGGAGAGGCAGAUGGAAUUGGUGGUGUAGGGGUAAAAUCCGUAGAGAUCACCAGGAAUACCGAUGGCGAAGGCGAUCUGCUGGAACAAUACUGACGCUGAGGCGUGAAAGCGUGGGGAGCAAACAGGAUUAGAUACCCUGGUAGUCCACGCCCUAAACGAUGAAUGCUAGUUGUUGGGGUGCUCGUCAUCCCAGUAAUGCAGCUAACGCAAUAAGCAUUCCGCCUGGGGAGUACGGUCGCAAGAUUAAAACUCAAAGGAAUAGACGGGGACCCGCACAAGCGGUGGAGCAUGUGGUUUAAUUCGAAGAUACGCGAAGAACCUUACCUGGACUUGACAUCCUAAGAACCGAUCAGAGAUGAUUGGGUGCUGCUUUUGUAGAGCUUAGUGACAGGUGCUGCACGGCUGUCGUCAGCUCGUGUCGUGAGAUGUUGGGUUAAGUCCCGCAACGAGCGCAACCCUCGUCCUUAGUUGCCAGCACAUCAAGGUGGGCACUCUAAGGAGACUGCCUGGGUAACCAGGAGGAAGGUGAGGACGACGUCAAGUCAUCAUGGCCCUUAUGUCCAGGGCGACACACGUGCUACAAUGGCAUGUACAAUGAGAAGCAAUACCGCGAGGUGGAGCAAAUCUAAAAAACAUGUCCCAGUUCGGAUUGCACUCUGCAACUCGAGUGCAUGAAGUUGGAAUCGCUAGUAAUCGUAGAUCAGCCAUGCUACGGUGAAUACGUUCCCGGG
rnacentral:rRNA from 1 species